rnacentral:siRNA from 1 species
GCUGUUUUUCUCGACAUGCCU